rnacentral:rRNA from 1 species
AUGCUGCCGAGCAGGUUGUACGAGUUGGGCAGGUUGGGCGCGAUCCGGACGAUCUCGUGCAGGAUGGGGAUGGCCUCCUUGAACCUGUUCUCCGUGAAGAGCAGGGUGGCGUCGCCCAGCUUCUUGAUGACCUCGGGGCUGCACCGGUUCCUCCGCCCUCUCGCCCGCCCCUUCCUCUUGCCGUCCUUGGACCGCCGCCGCUUCUUCCGCCGGAGGCCGAACCCCUCCAUCAGCUGGUCGAAGAGGUUCGCCGACUCCGCCUCGGAGAGCUCGCCCUGCUGCCUCCUCCGCUUGGAGGGCUCGUCCCCCUGCGGCGGCUCCUCGGGGAGGGCCUUCCGCUUGCGCGACAGCGCCGCCAGGGCCUCGAAGUCCCGGAUGCUGACGGUGGCCACGGCGCCGCCGGGCCCCCGCUCCGCCAUCUCCACGCACUGCGCCGCGUCCGCCGCGUCGCCGAACUCGUACCCCUCCUCCUCAUCCUCGUCGUACUCCUCCCCGUCCCCGUCCUCCUGCUCGUACGCCUCCUCCUCCUCCGCCGCCGCCGCCGCGCCUUCCUCCUCCGUCGCCGGCAUCUCCGAAGCACGGCCCGAGGCAAGCGGCAGAAGGAGUCGCUCCUGCCGGCGGGAAGCGGAGUAG